GUGGGGCAUCCAGAAGAGCCUGGUGUAUGGGCUCUCGGGCGCGGGGGCCGCCCUGGUGCUCCUGGUCCUGGUUGUCCUCCUGGUGUUUGCGCUGCACACCAAGAGAGUGGCGGAAAGGCAAAAGUACAGAGUGUCGGAGUUGUACAAGUGGCACGAAGAGGGCAGCAGACCUGCCCCUGGGACCUUCGAGAACACUGGCUUUGAGAUCUGUGAAGAACAAGAACAUUAUGUGCAGCUGGACUCCUUCUACAGUAACUUCAAGCCCUCCCUGAACAACGUGGACCCCAAAAUAAAGAUCCAAAUUCAGAGGCCCGAGGUGAUAAAGACAGCGAUGUGAGAAAACCUCAAUCCGGCCACGCUUGGUGGAGCGUUUCCCCGUUGCAAGCUUCCCGCAGGAACUUCAUGAGAAAAAGCCCUCUUUUUCAAGGAAGCCCUCUUGAUUAAGGAAGAAGAGGACAGAGACAGUACGGAAGCUCCUGUUGCCAUGAUGUCGAGCGCAGCCCUCCCUUCGGCCUUGUUCAGCACCAAGGACAGCGCCCGGCCCCUGGGUGCCCCGGGACAGCUCAGCUGCUGGCCAGACUACACUGCAUUCUGCCAAAUGCUCUUCUCAGGACUGUUGCAUACCGUGCUCGUGAAUAGCAUCUAUUUAAAAACACACUACAUUUAUCUUUGAGUUUCUCAGAUUAUGAGUAUUGUUAAACUUCUUAUAUUUAUGGGUUCUGGUUUGUCAUUAAUAAAUACCCUAAUAUAUAUUUAUAAUAAUUAAAAACAAAAGCAACUUUGUUACACUGUGCAUGGCUCUCAGACCUUUCUCCAGUCGCCACGCUGUACAGGACCGGGUGGGUGUCUCGCCUGCCGGGCUCUGUCCCCUCCUCUCUUUGGAAUGUGGGCCCUGCGGCGCUUGUGCCUGGAGACGAUUC